rnacentral:rRNA from 1 species
UACGUAGGGUGCAAGCGUUAAUCGGAAUUACUGGGCGUAAAGCGUGCGCAGGCGGUUGUGUAAGACAGAUGUGAAAUCCCCGGGCUCAACCUGGGAACUGCAUUUGUGACUGCACAGCUGGAGUGCGGCAGAGGGGGAUGGAAUUCCGCGUGUAGCAGUGAAAUGCGUAGAUAUCCGGAGGAACACCAGUGGCGAAGGCGACUUUCUGGCCUGUUCUUGACGCUGAGGCGCGAAAGCUAGGGGAGCAAACGGG